rnacentral:tRNA from 1 species
UUAAUGUAUUACUAAAGGACGACAAAAAAUAUCCUUAUUUAUGCAUUACUUGGAGUGAAUCUUAUCCGCGUAU